rnacentral:rRNA from 1 species
GAUGAACGCUAGCGGCGGGUCUCACACAUGCCAGACGAGGGGUAACUAAAGGGUCAGCCAUACUACUUUUUCAUGACCGGCGCUCGGGUGCGUAACACCUAUGCAACCUACUUUAUACUGGUGAAUAACAUCGAGAAAUCGGCGCUAAUUCUUUAUAACCUUUCUAACUGGAAACUAUUAUGAAUUAACACUUCGGCUGUAAAUUUCAGGAAUGCGUCCAAUUAGUUAGGUGGUGAGGUAACGGCUCACCAAGGCUACGACUGGUAGGGGUUCUGAGAGGAUGAUCCCCCACACUGGUAAUGAGACACGGACCAGACUCCUACGGGAGGCAGCAGUGAGGAAUAUUGCGCAAUGGACGAAAGUCUGACGCAGCCAUGCCGCGUGCAGGAUGACGGCCCUAUGGGUUGUAAACUGCUUUUGUACGGGAAUAAACCCUUCUACGUGUAGGAGGCUGAAGGUACCGUAAGAAUAAGCACCGGCUAACUCCGUGCCAGCCGCCGCGGUAACAC